UUUAGAACAAAACUAGAGAUACCAGUCACUGAGGUUGGCGCCGGUUUUGCUGCAAAAAGUCUUUGUACGGUGUUGGGAUUGGACAUUCAUCCGCAACUAUUGAGACCACAGAAUCAAAAUGCUGCCAUACAAAAUCAAGCAGCUGACGAUGAGGAUUCCAGUGACGACGAGGACAACGUUUAUGUUCUCGAUGUUUCCGAUGACGACCAGUUUUAAUUACAUGUAGCAUUAAGAUUUCUUUUUAAAUAAUAUUAUUGUAACGUUUUAUUACUAUGCUGGGCUUGAGUUUUGUGGCCUUGACCGAAGUACGGGCAGUUUGGUAUACAAAAUAACCCGUAGAUAUGCCCGAUAAUGGAUGAAUUUGCCACAACAAAUAAUAGCAGAACUGAUCAUCUUGCUUUUAAACGACAAUAUUUUUUUGUGUUUUCAACUUGUUUAAUAUUUUUUGUAAUGUGUUUUGUUGAAACUUUGUGCAUUUCUUCGCAAUAGAAUAAAUUGUGUUCUUCAUAUUUGUAAUUAAUAACACAAGGUAAACAUACUCAAUUGGAAAAGUUACUGCGUCAAUUAAAUUUCAUUACUUACAGUGAAAUAAAUGGAAAAAUACUAGAUGUGAACAAUAA